GAGGCUGAACUUGCAGUGAGCCGAGAUCGCCCCACUGCACUCCAGCCUGGGCGACAGAGCGAGACUCUGUCUCAAAAAAAAAAAAAAAAAAAAAAAUCUGACGUGACAAGGCCUUUAGUUUUUAUAAGUGAGGUCUCCUCUCUUUGCCUAGAUAUUCCUCCGAUAACAUCAAUGAAAUUUUGCCCAGCACAGAGCAAGUACUAAAUAAUGAUUUGGUGAAUCUAAUGUUGAGCCUGCAGUAAUCCAACUAGAAACACCCACUCAGCCACUCGGGCAUACCUUUUAUUUGGGCAAGGGGCACUGCAGUUCUCUGGGCAGGGGUCAGCUAGGAGAGACCAAUAGAUGCCCCCACCCCAGGCUCCUAGACCCAUCUCCAGGACCAAACAGCCAAAGCCCCUCUUCUUUUCUUCAAAAUACACACAUUUCUAGAAAUUCUCUGCAAAAUACAUAGGCUACUAGAUAAGCACCCAGUUUCCCUCUGGGGUCAUUUGUUCCCGAAUGAGGCUUAUUAAAAGAGGAAACUAUUUUUAAGCUAAAUCAUCAAUCAAAAGUAUUCUUCAUUCUGGUAUAUGGCUGCUUUCCACAGAUGAUAAAAUCCCGUCAACUUGAUCCAAAGAAAAAAUGACCUACAUAACAAUGACAGCAUGAAUAACAAUUAAUCCUCCAUUGAAAUGUUCAAAAGCUAGAAUUGUGGUAAAGCCAAGAUUCCCAGGGAGUGUCAGGAACUGCUCUCUUGAUUCUAAGCUUGAAGCAGGUAAAGAAAAGGUUGUCUGGGACUAGGGCUUUCGGGGAUAGGACCCAAAUCCCAAGGCAAAGGGAGUCAGAAGCGAGUAAGAAAAGCAAACAGCUCCUACCUACCCAGUGCCAAAGAAACGCAGACACCAGUUCUGUGUCGGUUCUGCUUGAAAAGGUCUGAGAAGAAUAAUUUGGUAGAUGAAUCAUUGAAGAAUAAUUUUGCAGACAGCUCCAUCAAGCCAAAUGCCCAGCGUGAGGGCUGUGUGUAUAAUACUGUCAUAACCUUUGAAGAUAGAUUCUGUUCAUCAACACGGCUGUUUACAUAAUCACUUGGUCACCUCACCAAAUGGAUUAAUCUUUUUGGUCACAUUCCUUAUCAGUGCAUGGAGAGGCUAAUUGUUGGUGGCCCAAUGUGUCCCAUAAACGGAUCCCAUGAGAAUAAGCUUGCAGCAACAGAUGAUGAAGGGAACUGAGAUACAGACGAAAGCACAGCGGCCUGGGAGACAGGAGACGAGGCUCCGCCUGGACCUUGACGACGACCUUCCUUAAAACUAUGGACUCGUCAUCUGACCUCUCAAGGCCUCCAUUUCCCCAUCUGUAAAACCGAAAGCCCCUCAGCAAUCUGGGGCUAUCAUCUGAAAAGUGUGGGCAGCUGCGGGCGCUCAUACCUCAAGCCCCAAGAGUUUCUUCUUCUAACAGUAACAUACUUUGCACAUGACCCAGCAAUCCCACUCCUGGGUAUUUACCUGAUAAAUGAAAACCCAUGUUUGCCGGGCAUGGUGGCUCAUGCAUGUAAUCCCAGCACUUUGGGAGGCCAAGGUGGGCGGAUCACUUGAAGUCAAAAGUUCAAGACCAGCCUGGAAAACAUGGUGAAACCCCAUCUCUACUAAAACUACAAAAAUUGGUGGGGUGUGGAGGCACAUGCCUGUAGUUCCAGCUACUCGGGAAACUGAGGCAGAAGGAUUGCUUGAACCCAGGAAUUGGAGGUUACAAGUGAGCCAAGAUUGCGCCAUUGCACUCCAGUGCAGAGCAAAAGUCUGUCAAAAAAAAAAAAAAAAGAAGAAGAAAAAGAAAAAAGGAAUGAAAGGAAAGAAAAGGAAGGAAGGAAGGAAGGACCAUUAAGAAGGUACCUGUACCCAAAUUUGCAGAGCAGCUUUAUUUUUAUUUAUCACCGCCCCAGACUGGAGUCAACCCACACGUCCUCAGCGUGUGAAUGAAUAGACCAACCGCAGCACCUCGUACAGUGGAGUGCUACUAAGGAGCGAAUAUGGAUUCACACAGCAACACGGGUGCAUCCCAAAAGCAUGCUGCUACACGGAUGCAAGGCCUUCGGACUAUAUGAUCCCAUUUAGGAGACAAUUGGGAAAAGGGAAAAUCCAGGGGUGAAGAAUAGAUCUGUGGUGGCAGGGGUGGGAAAAGCGGGGAGGAUUUGCCUACUGAGGGGCAGCACAAGAGAAUUUUGCGGGGCGAUGGAUCUGUCUGUAUCUUGACCAUAGUGAUGAUACAUGACUGUGCAUUUGUCAGAACUCACAGGACUGAAUGAAAAGAGAAGUGAAUUUUACUGCAUGUGAAUUGUUAAAAUAAAUGCUAGACAGUAUUUUAAAAAUCAAGCCCAGAUCCUGCAAGACAUUAUGGCUCCCCACCAGAAGGGGAGAGACGGGGAAAGAGAAGUGUCCCCAAAGUUAACCCACGUUCCCUGGGACCCACCUCCCUCCCCACUGCCACUUCCCACCAGCCUCACGCACGGGCCAGCUGCCCAGUCCCCUGUAGCUGGGGAGGACCCCCUCUUCUUGUGAGGCAGACACUGGGAGUGACCCCUCCCUGCAAGGGAGAUUUCUCAUCCCCCAGGGUUCCCAGAGGGUUCCCAGAGGAAAUACAGGAUACCCAAUACAUUUGAAUUUCAGAUAAAAAAUAAAUAACGUUCUGAUACAAGUCUGUCCUGUGCAAUAUUUGUAUGUGUUUUUAUUUGCUAAAUCUGGCAACUCUGUCCCCACCCACAGGGGCAUGCCUAUGGUCACCACACCAGAAGGUAAUCCAUUACAUCUCAGUAACUGUAGAUCCAUACACCCAGAUAAUUUGCUUCUUGGCUCAUCUCCUGGGAAUUAGAGAACUGGGUCUGUUAGCCAAACUCUCAAGACACCUGCCCCAAAACAACCUGGGGUGCUGAGGAAGGGGCACAAAAGGCAAACAGCAUGCCCUCUCCAACUCCCACCCCUACCACAAUCUGAGCUUAGAAGCCAGAUGUGGGUGGCGUGGGAGGGAAAGGCACACCAGCCUGAG
rnacentral:lncRNA from 1 species